rnacentral:rRNA from 1 species
GAGGGUGCUUGGAGCGGAGCUGAUGCAGCGACGCCGCGUGGGGGAUGACGGCCUUCGGGUUGUAAACUCCUUUCGACAGGGACGAAGCUUUUUGUGACGGUACCUGUAUAAGAAGCACCGGCUAACUACGUGCCAGCAGCCGCGGUAAUACGUAGGGUGCGAGCGUUGUCCGGAAUUACUGGGCGUAAAGAGCUCGUAGGUGGUUUGUCGCGUCGUCUGUGAAAUUCCGGGGCUUAACUUCGGGCGUGCAGGCGAUACGGGCAUAACUUGAGUGCUGUAGGGGAGACUGGAAUUCCUGGUGUAGCGGUGAAAUGCGCAGAUAUCAGGAGGAACACCGAUGGCGAAGGCAGGUCUCUGGGCAGUUACUGACGCUGAGGAGCGAAAGCAUGGGUAGCAAACAGGAUUAGAUACCCUGGUAGUCCAUGCCGUAAACGGUGGGCGCUAGGUGUAGGGGGCUUCCACGUCUUCUGUGCCGUAGCUAACGCAUUAAGCGCCCCGCCUGGGGAGUACGGCCGCAAGGCUAAAACUCAAAGGAAUUGACGGGGGCCCGCACAAGCGGCGGAGCAUGUGGAUUAAUUCGAUGCAACGCGAAGAACCUUACCUGGGCUUGACAUACACCAGAUUGCUGCAGAGAUGUAGUGUCCCUUGUGGUUGGUGUACAGGUGGUGCAUGGUUGUCGUCAGCUCGUGUCGUGAGAUGUUGGGUUAAGUCCCGCAACGAGCGCAACCCUUGUCUUAUGUUGCCAGCAUUUGGUUGGGGACUCAUGAGAGACUGCCGGGGUUAACUCGGAGGAAGGUGGGGAUGACGUCAAAUCAUCAUGCCCCUUAUGUCCAGGGCUUCACACAUGCUACAAUGGUCGGUACAACGCGCAGCGACACUGUGAGGUGGAGCGAAUCGCUGAAAGCCGGGUUCUUAGUUCGAUUGGGGUCUGCAACUCGACCUCAUGAAGUCGGAGUCGCUAGUAUCGCAGAUCAGCAACGCUGCGGUGAAUACGUUCCCGGGGCCUUGUACACACCGCCCGUCACCGUA